AUGCUCAUCAAAUUGCUGGCUCCAUGUUGCCUAUCCACUAUCAUCAUACUUGUCUGCAUCAGAGCGUCUCCGUUGAUGUUGAAUAUGAAACAGUUGCCACUGUCCCACCAGCAGCACCAAAGACGAGCCCAGCAGCAACAUGAUGGAGACCAGCAGUACUUCUUGAUCAGGCUAGGCGGGGCGGUCGAUUUGCAGCGGGGUGGAGUGAGGGAUAUCUCGUUUGGAAGAGCAGGUGGAGUACAAGGUCGUGCCGAGGUCCAAUCACUAGUAGAAAAAGGGUCAAAUGUGAGACACAUUAGUCCCGGUUUGUAA
rnacentral:rRNA from 1 species